rnacentral:rRNA from 1 species
AGCAGUAGCCGCGGGAAAACGUAGGGUGCGAGCGUUAAUCGGAAUUACUGGGCGUAAAGCGUGCGCAGGCGGUUAUAUAAGACAGAUGUGAAAUCCCCGGGCUCAACCUGGGACCUGCAUUUGUGACUGUAUAGCUAGAGUACGGUAGAGGGGGAUGGAAUUCCGCGUGUAGCAGUGAAAUGCGUAGAUAUGCGGAGGAACACCGAUGGCGAAGGCAAUCCCCUGGACCUGUACUGACGCUCAUGCACGAAAGCGUGGGGAGCAAACAGGAUUAGAUACCCGAGUAGUCCCUGUCUCUUAUAC